rnacentral:rRNA from 1 species
AGCGAACGCUGGCGGCAGGCCUAACACAUGCAAGUCGAACGGCUCUUCGGAGCAGUGGCGGACGGGUGAGUAACGCGUGGGAACGUGCCCUUUGGUUCAGAACAACACAGGGAAACUUGUGCUAAUACCGGAUGUGCCCUUCGGGGGAAAGAUUUAUCGCCAUUGGAGCGGCCCGCGUUGGAUUAGGUAGUUGGUGGGGUAAAGGCCCACCAAGCCGACGAUCCAUAGCUGGUCUGAGAGGAUGAUCAGCCACACUGGGACUGAGACACGGCCCAGACUCCUACGGGAGGCAGCAGUGGGGAAUCUUGCGCAAUGGGCGAAAGCCUGACGCAGCCAUGCCGCGUGAAUGAUGAAGGUCUUAGGAUUGUAAAAUUCUUUCACCGGGGAAGAUAAUGACGGUACCCGGAGAAGAAGCCCCGGCUAACUUCGUGCCAGCAGCCGCGGUAACAC